ACCAGCAUGGACAGACUCACUCACAGGAAACUUCCUGCACAUAUAAAACUCAACAUUUUCAAAAGACCACAGGUUUUGAACUGAAAUGUUAAGUUUUGGAAAGUGACUGGCUCUCUGGAGGUACCUAAAGAUUAGGAUGGGGGCAGGGAAGCAUUCCAAAUGCAAAGGUUUAGAGCUGACAAUUAAAAAUAAAUCCGAAAAAUAACAGCAGAAAUUCACAAAAAGCUGCUCAGCUACUAUAAGAGUUGUAAAGAUUUGUGCAAUAAUUAUUAAGAAAGAGUACAAGAACUGGGUUCCUUCACAGGAUUUCUUACUAUUGCUUGGCAGAUAUAAAAAUCUAACUGUUUAGGG